CUUGAGCCUUUUGUGAUGGGAGAAAGUGGUGGCGGCUCCCUGAGCUGGGGUUGUGGGGGUAUCUGACGUCACAAAAGCAGGGCCAGGAACCUGCCGGCUGGCGUGGGUGGCACCGAGUGCAGGGCCGCAUGCGGGGCCAUGGGCUGCUGCCAAGAUAAGGACUUUCAGACUUCGGAUGAGCAGGCCAAGGAGGCCGGGUCAGAAGGCACUGAUGCGGACUCGGUGGAGCAACGGGAUCGCAGGUCGAACGAAAGUCUUUUGAUCACUGUGCUGUGGCGGCGGCUAUCCAUGUUCAGCCGUCGGGGUUCCGCUCGGUCAACCAAGAGGCAGGCAGUCCAGAAUCCAAAGCCGGCGAGUAGGAUCCAGGAGUACGAUCAGGAGAGGAUCCAGGAGGAGCCGGAGAAGGGGUGACUCCAGCCUCGUUCUCACUCCUCCCCAGCCUUCAGAGAAUAAAGUUUCUAACGUG